UGGGGAAUUUUUGGACAAUGGGCGAAAGCCUGAUCCAGCAAUGCCGCGUGUGUGAAGAAGGCCUUCGGGUUGUAAAGCACUUUUGUCCGGAAAGAAAUCCUUGGCUCUAAUACAGUCGGGGGAUGACGGUACCGGAAGAAUAAGCACCGGCUAACUACGUGCCAGCAGCCGCGGUAAUACGUAGGGUGCAAGCGUUAAUCGGAAUUACUGGGCGUAAAGCGUGCGCAGGCGGUUUGCUAAGACCGAUGUGAAAUCCCCGGGCUCAACCUGGGAACUGCAUUGGUGACUGGCAGGCUAGAGUAUGGCAGAGGGGGGUAGAAUUCCACGUGUAGCAGUGAAAUGCGUAGAGAUGUGGAGGAAUACCGAUGGCGAAGGCAGCCCCCUGGGCCAAUACUGACGCUCAUGCACGAAAGCGUGGGGAGCAAACAGGAUUAGAUACCCUGGUAGUCCACGCCCUAAACGAUGUCAACUAGUUGUUGGGGAUUCAUUUCCUUAGUAACGUAGCUAACGCGUGAAGUUGACCGCCUGGGGAGU
rnacentral:rRNA from 1 species